CAACCGAUACCUCUACUUGAACUGUCCAUCCCCUGACCCCUUUCUACUCCCCUCCACCUGAGCUCUCCUUCUUCGGCACCGGUGACCACUCCGAUCAGAGAAACAACCAACCAUUUACAACGACCACCGGUGAUCAUCUGGCCAUUUCAUUGUCACAAAGAAAACACCAGCAACAGUGCUUUUUCUCUGACACCGGCGAUUAUCCGGCCAUUCUUUCUCUUAAGCCUUACCUAUAUUGGAUUCGCCCAAUCAUCUGUGGACAAGAAAACAAGCAUUGUAUUUCAACUUUCAACAUGGUUAUUGGCAAGAAACGCGGAAGAAGGAUUAGCAUUUGUCAUCUUUUUGUUUAGAAUGGACAACAUUUGUCAUCUUUCAAGUGUCACUCUAUUGCCGUGGAAUUUGUUUUAAACCUCCUCAAUUUAGGUUUUAUUAUGUAUUCGUGUCCUUCUUUGUUUGAAUUUAGUGGAUGGAACUUGGAAGAGUAGUUUGACAAGAAACGUGGAAGAAGGAAAUUGAGGUUUUAUUUUUCUCCUUUUUUCCGUUCUUUUAUUCUGAUUCAAAGGUUGAGAUGGGAUUUAGCUUCUUUUUUCAUUGAAUGAAAUCCUUCUCUUAUUGCUUUCACUCUA